AAAAAAACAAGCUAAUUGAACACGCAUAUACCCAUAACUCCCCUAACCCUAAAACAUAUCAAAUGAGAGUCGCCCCUCCCCAUCUUCUUCCCUUUCUCUUUUAGAUCAAAACUCCUCUUCUCCCCUGUUCCUCUCUUUCUCUCUCCUCAAAUCCCAAAGCACCGUCCUCAAGCUUCACACGCCCACAAGUCCACCGCCUAUCUCACAAGCUUUUCACACACACCGUUGAGACACAAGCUGACGAGUGUCAACCACCGAGCCACCUUUCAGCCAUGAGUUUCCACCACCAAGCCAUGAGAUGUCGAUUUGAGUAUUUAAUUACUCAAGAUUUUUCAAUUUUUGAUUUGAUUUUAAUUUAGAUAUUAGAGUGAAAUUUUGCUGAACAAUCGCAGGCAUUGACACAACCUGUAUUGAUUUCUUCUCUAAACCCGCAAAGCCGCAAUUGUUGUUUGUAGUAUAAAUAAUUAAUCAGUAGUAUUAGAGAACUUGUAAUGUAUUUUUUUUCCUCAACGAAUUCAGUUGUAAUUGAAAUACAUGUAUUUUAAUUUUUUUGAUAAAUAAAAUGUUAUUGUUAUGGUAUUUUA